rnacentral:rRNA from 1 species
UGUUCGCCGAUUAAAGUGGUACGCGAGCUGGGUUCAGACCGAUGUGAAUCAGGUCGGUCCCUAUCUGCCGUGGGCGCAGGAAUCUUGAGGAGAUAUUUUCUUAGUACGAGAGGAUUAGAAAGUACUGACCUCUGGUGUACCGGCUGUAGCGCUAGCUGCACCGCCGGGUAGCUAUGUUGGGAACGGAUAACCGCUGAAAGCAUCUAAGCGGGAAGCCUACUCCAAGAUAAGGAUUCCAUGAACUAUGUUCGAGAGAGCCCAGUUAGACUAACUGGUUGAUAGGCCGGGUGUGUAAGUGGCGAAAUCCAUUCAGCUUACCGGUACUAACGCUCAAUUACUUGACCAU